AUUGAACGCUGGCGGAAUGCUUUACACAUGCAAGUCGAACGGCAGCACGGACUUCGGUCUGGUGGCGAGUGGCGAACGGGUGAGUAAUACAUCGGAACGUGCCCAGUCGUGGGGGAUAACGUAGCGAAAGCUACGCUAAUACCGCAUACGAUCUAAGGAUGAAAGCGGGGGACCGUAAGGCCUCGCGCGAUUGGAGCGGCCGAUGGCAGAUUAGGUAGUUGGUGGGGUAAAGGCUCACCAAGCCGACGAUCUGUAGCUGGUCUGAGAGGACGACCAGCCACACUGGGACUGGGACACGGCCCAGACUCCUACGGGAGGCAGCAGUGGGGAAUUUUGGACAAUGGGCGCAAGCCUGAUCCAGGCAUUCCGCGUGCAGGAUGAAGGCCCUCGGGUUGUAAACUGCUUUUGUACGGAACGAAAAGGCUCUGGUUAAUACCUGGGGCUCAUGACGGUACCGUAAGAAUAAGCACCGGCUAACUACGUGCCAGCAGCCGCCGCAG
rnacentral:rRNA from 1 species